ensembl:lncRNA
AAACCCCAGUUCUGGCUUUGAAUUCAGACUGGGGCUGGAACUGUUUACUGAAGCUGAAUCCCAGCAAAACAGCAGCAUAACAACGGUAAAACUGUCUCGAGAAAUACCAAGAAUAUUUUUUCCCUACUUCUGGAGCAACCCAGUGAUGUAAUACAAUGGUUUUCAGUGAUGGAAAUGGGGCUGGAUUUCAAAUGAUUUAGAAGCCCAUUCAAUAAGAGGUUGAAGCACAUGCUUAAGUCAAAACACAUGAGUGCACCAGAACUACUCAUGAGCUCAAAAGUAAGAUACCUGUUGCUGAGCUGGAGCCUUAGGGUACAGCUUGAAGUUGAGGCUAAACUAAUGUAGAGUUAGUGUUGCUGGAAGUGAUUGGUCCUCUCCUGGUUUUCUUCCCUGCAGUGGCUCACGCUGCAGUGAGACAAAUGCUAUUGGUACAACAACAAAUUGGAAGCAACACUGUUGCUUCCCCAGCAACAUGAAGAAGUAUUUGUCUUAUAAAAACAGGAGAAGUCUCAGUUAAUACCGAGAGUCAGUGGAGAAGUGCUGGAGCGAAUUUCUGUACUAACGUGAAGUCCAUGAUGGAUUUCAUGAGCUGCAGCCUGCUAGAGAAUGAAGUAAGGGGAACAAGUAUUUUCCUUAGGUUUAAUAUGUUGUGCCCAUUGGAUCGCAGCCUCUCAAUGACAGUCCAGCUUUUGACAGACGGCCUCAUUUAUCCUUGCUCAUACCCAGCUCUGCUCUGCUGGCAUUGUGCACUCCUGUAGGGCUUUUUUUGGGGGGUAGAGGUUGGAAUUAGCCUGACUUGAACAACUAGGCUGAGGAACACUGAACAGUAAAAUAAAGUCCUGAUGACAUAUUUGAACUCUUGUAGACCAUGGGUUAUCUGAUCUGCAAGGUCACUGCUAUUCUCUGGGAAAGUUUGAAAGAAUCUGCUCUCGUUUCAAGCUUAAAGGGCCCUUCUUGACAACAUGAGGAUGCAGAUUCACUUUGUCUGAACUAUAUGCAUAGGUGAAUGUUUCAGAGUAUUUACUACCUGUAUAUUUUUUUCUUUCCUUUGCAUUUAGAAGCUCAUCAAAGGCAGACAGCAUAGAGUUUGUUUUAAUAAAGAGAAAGAAAAAUUGACUCCGACAAGACUACCAAAACCAACUGAAAUGCGGGAAGGAAAACUGUCAUGUAAAAGUGAGAGACCUAAAAAGAACUUUAAAAUUCCUCUUAAUAAUUUAAACUGUCAGCAGCAGCAGAAAUCAGGAAUUAUAUUUCAGACGCAACUUAUGCCAGGCAUGUCUUAAAAAGGGAAAGACAAAGACAAAUUGAUAAUGCCUGAAGAGGCUGUCCCUGGGAAUAAGAAGUGCAGGGUUCGGCCCUGGAAAGCCAAGCAUCUUUUCCACUCUUCUGUCUGUAAAAGAGAGGAAUGAUGGUCCUUGGUCUUAGUGACUCUAACAGAUGCAGUCGGGGAAGCAGUAGGAAAAUAACAUCAUUAAAACUUCUGUCUUUCUGUAUUUAUGAAAAGUCAGGUUUGUGCCUUGCUCUAAAUGUUUGAGGCUAUUACAGUACAAAGAUUUGGUAUUAAUAUGAUUAGGUUAACAGUAUUUUUUCUGUAAUACGUAUCAUGAAGUCCUGUCAGAAUGAAAUUCAAUGCUAAAAACAUCAAAUAAUAGCUUUCACAGACCAUUAAUGCUUAAGGCUCCAGCGUGGGAGUUAUUAUUACAAAAGGACCCUGAAAUGCUGCUAGCUCUUACUCUUACAUCAGAAUAUACCUUAAGUUAGAGGUAUUUUCCCCCCAGGCUUUGUUUGCUCCAAUAUGAUGUAAGCUCUUGCUCUGACUGUUACGUUGGUAAACAGACCGGCUUAGCUUUGUGGCUGGGUUCUUGCAGUAAAGCCAGGAUCGUGGAGGAGGGAUUGGAGGGGUUGUUCCCAUCCUCCCACAGGGAUCUGAAUGCACAAACUCUUGGCCACUUCGUCCUUGCUGGCUGUGGCAGGCAAUCGCUCCGUCUUUUCCAGACCCUCCAUUGCCUUCGGUGGCGGUGCUGUGCAGCAGGAUGGGCGGCGGUGUCCCUUGUUGGUGUCCCUCAUGCCACCAUGUGUACUGCAGGGAGCAGUGAUGGUUCAUGCCCUCCCCUGAGGGACUGCAAGUUUAAUGUCCUUAAGGAACGUGUAGUUUAUGCAUACAGUGCUGUGCAUUACCCAAGCCAUUCAGAUUUCUCACCUCCCUGCAGGAAUGUGGAUUUGAAUCCAUUUAUUUGACUCCAGGUAGGUGGUAGAGUAUCUUGUGUUUUUCUCCAUGGGCUGAUCUUAUCUUGACAUAAGUCCACAGGUGUCCAUGAAGAUAUUUCAGAGCAGGAAGGAUUCAGUGCAAUGGAGUUAGACAGACUGAUAGCAAAAUGGGCGCUGGUGCCUUUGGUAGGAAUGCCUACUACUCUCCCUCAAUAAAAAGUUUAUGAUUAAUCACCAGAUUGAUUACAUUACCCUUUAAUUAAGAUCAUAAGUGCUGAAGAACUGGGACUUUGGUGUAGUUUUCCUUUGUUAUCUCUUCACCGUGGCUCUGCAAGUGUGACUUCUAAAUGCUUUAUCUGCCUAGGUCUGUAAUUUAUAGCCUGUAUUGGCCAUAAAAGAUCUUGCAUUGAUUUCCCCUUACUACAAUUGUUCCCACCCCUCUAACAGGGACCUGAGGUCACAUUCUUCCUUGCUAGUGCUUCCACAGCUGGAUCCAUUUUAAUGAAAAGCAAAAAUGUGGGUGAAAAUGUGUUGAUUUCAUUUAUAUAAGAAAGUUACCUUCCUUUUCCCUGGACCUGUUCCAUAGUUUUCCCUGGAGCUCUCAUACAGACACUUGUGGGAACUUCCACAGAAAGCUGCUGAUGCAGGCUGGGCAGCUGUCACAAGUGGUUUAUGGCCACUUUCCUCCUGAGGCAUUUGUUCUUCACAUAUCCAAAUCCUACAUUGGAUCCAGUCCUCAGUAAUGGGGAUGCUACUGCAGUGAGUGCAUCAGUGCUGAAACCCACCUGAAAUCUAAGCUGAAGCACCUUCAUAAGCCAUUCACUGCCUGGCAAGAGCCAGCCCCCAGCCAGAACAGGCUGAGACCUUUGAUGCUAUCAGUCUGGAGAUAAGGAGCAGAGUGGCCAGGCCAGCUGUUGGCUCUCACUGCAUGCCCGGUAGCCAGCCCUUAAGGCUCCUCACAGUGCUCUCAGGAAAUACCACUUUUUAACAUUUAGUUCAAGUGCAGACAGGCGUUGGAGUUGGGUAAGGAUGAGGCCACAGGUCUGUUACACCACUUUGGGGUCAAGUUUAGUACGUGGUCUCUGCCAGAUUUCAGCCACGCAGCCCAGGAACUCGGCUGGAAAUGCCACUCAGACACAGGCAUUGGUGCUCCCGUGCUUCUUCUCACCCAGAAAGCCGGGUCCUGGCCUCAGGCUGGAUCUUUCCUGCUCUUCCAGCGAGGGAAGCUGACGCAUUUAACGAGCCUUUUGCAUGCGCCAUCCCAGCUCCUCUUUGGAAGUCCUCUGCCCCCUUGCUCCAGCUGGCUGAGCCUCGCGCACCGUGGUUAUCUCAUCUCAUCUCAGUUAAGUGUUUCAGAUGCAAUUGCAUAUGGGUAUGCAGUUUCAGACUGGUUUCAAUAAUACGUAAUAAUAGUAAUGAUAGUGAUAACAAUACCUGAUGUUAUAGACGAGAAAAAUAAAACUAUUGUCUCAAAACAUAUCUGACAAGCAGUACAACGGUGUUACAUACUUGGAAGAGGGGGGAAUGGGAAUUACUUCACACGUUUCCCUCCCGUGAGCCUUGUCUAGCCUGCAUGUUACGUCGGGGAGACGGAAGCAUCUGCCUGAGAAAUGUGGCAUGAGCUCAGGUCGGGGCAACAGGCUGCCUCCCACACAGCCCAUUCAAAACGACGGCACUAUCAGAUGGAAAGAGGUUACAGACAUAGCGUAGUGUAUCAGUCUGUUAAGUAUCUUUGCAAUGGUUUCCCACAGCACUUCGCAGCUUGUUUAACGUAUCGCGAUUAACCAGUAAGCUCUGCAAGAACGUCUUACGGCCGCUGGAAAUACAAGAAGCAACCUCAAGGACCACAGCAGACGACAAACAUAAUAACGGACAGUAAGCCUGUAUCUGCUGCCUCUCCUGAAAGAUGCCCACGACUGGCAGGGUUCCAAAGUAUUGGAAGUUUAUUCCGAAUAUUUUUGUUUGAGAGCUUUCAGCAGCAGAGAUGUUGGUUGUUGCAGCGCGCCGGGUGAAACGUUGCAAAGCCACAAGGUUUCUCGCUGAGCACAGAAUAAUCAGUUAUCUGGCUGAUUCUGAGAAAAAAAAAAAAGUCUUGCUCGUGAACUGAGCGUAGCGAGAUCUUUCAGUUGAGUCUUUCUUCAGAUAUGACAGCUGGCAAAUGUCUUCUCCGGUGCGCCAGCUUGGCAAGAAAGUCAAACAGAGAAAACCAGCAUUUUUUAUUACACUUUUCACCUCCUCCUCGCCGUGCAUCUUUGCUUGUUUGCUGUUUGGCAGAGUUUGGCGAUUGCUAAUGGGAUUCGCCAACCUUGCAAGUGAGAAAGUUUCUCACCCUGUUAUCGAGAUCAAUGGUUUCCUCCAGUUCUAAUUGCAAAACACUUUCUUUAUCAUGAAAAUCUGAAAUUUCCAUAAAUAGCUUUCCCAAGGGCUAAGUAAGUGCUGAACAAAAACAAAAACAAAGGGAGAGGAAAUACAAUGAAAAUAAAUAACUUGAAUGCAAAGCCAUACCAAAGCCUGGAUUGUUUCAGGAGGAGAGUUUGGGAGGCACUGAGCACCUUGAGAGCUGAUCUGGGCACUGAUGAAGCUCAGCAUGGAAGUGCCAAAGCAUCCUACAAGCCCACUCAGAGCAGCCCGUCAGCUUUUCUUCUGGGGUCAGACUGUGACAAAGUCCAAGGCUGAUUCAACGCGGUAUUAAACCACGGGUUUCAGUUGUAGAGAUGAAGGAAAGACAAACUGGCAGAUGACAGAUAGCAGAAGUAUAUCUGAGGUGAAAUUUCUCGGUACCGAAAUGCUGGUAAACUAAAUGGCGCCUUUCCACAACUUAACUCCCCCAGAUCCAGAAUAGUUUACUGCGCGGGUCUCUGUCAUGCCAUAGAAACCUGACGUGCGGUAUGUCAGCAGUGAAGUAAUAUUGACAGACAAAUACGGCUAUUGUAUUCAUAAACGUUCGCUUUACAAAGCUAAGCACGUUGUAGCAAAAUAUCCUUAAUGCUAGCAUGAUAGACAGCAAUGUAAUCAUUGUCCUGGGUGAAUUGAGAACACAAACAAAAAUAGAUUAGCUAACAACUAAAUUGUAUUUAUCUUGCUUGACAGGGCUGGUUCAGUGAUGAGUCAUUCUCAGAUCUAAUGCCACCGCCAUCUCCAGUGUUGUUGGUAAUUGUUACUGCUGAGAGAAAAGGCUCUGACAGUCUGAAUGCUGAAGAAGCAAAGGAGCGCUAGUUUGCCUGGCGUGGGAGUGCUAGCAUUAGCCUGCCUGAGCCCCAGCAGAGGCAAUACACCAAUUAGCUGCAUACUUCCUUGAACUGUGCAGCUGGGGGCUCGGCCAGCUGGGGCCAUGGCAGGUCUGGUAGGGCUUUUAGGAGGGCAGAGUUGUUCUUCCAGGCAGGAUUGUGGCUGAGGGCCUGACACGUCUCCCACAUAAGCUGCCCCGUCCUCGUGCUGCUGCUGCUGCACAUCCCUCCCCAGCGCAGGCAGGGGUGAGAAGAGCCACAGCACAGAGGGCCCAUGAACUGCCACAUGAGCUCUGGGAAGCCCUGAGACACAGCCAAGGUGAUAUGCUUACAUGGUGAGGAGGAAACGCUGGGUGAGCUUCUCUGGGGAUUAGCAGCAUUCUACACUUCUGAUGGAGAGUAAUUAUCUUUUUGAAAACAAUUGUCAGAUUACUUUUAAAUAACAAAACUUUGCAAGGAGGUAGUCAGGUUCCAGGUAGAAACGUGUAAGGGAAAACAAAUAUUCACAGCAAGAACGGGCAUGAAAAAGAUCGGGCUUGAUGCUGAUCAAGUUCACAUCUGCUUGAAGGCCCAGCCCAAAGAGUGGUGGGGCAGCAGAGCCAAACUCAAUGGGAUGGCACGGCUGCCAGCCCCGUACAGGUGAGACCAAACUCAGAUCGCUAUCGUUUUGUGGUUUUCCUUUUUGCGUAUCGACAGGGAGGAAACGUGAAAGCCAUCAACUGUUGUGCAAAACAAAACACCCUGCCUAGGGUUGGCGGAGGCCGCCUGCCUGGGACUGCUGCAGGACAUGGCCACAGAGCAGGCCUCGAUUCAGGCUGCAGCGGGCACCGCGUGGCCUUGGGUUAGUUGUUGCCAGAGCAAAUUGGCCUGGUGGCUCCUGCACAGAGCCAGCCGGCCGUGUGCGACACCAGGGCUCAGCCAGGCAUGAAAAUAUAAAAUGAGAGAAUAAGUUAAACCACCACAUUCUUGGGGGAGAUGUUAAUGGGUGACAGCUAUCCCAUACCACCUCGGCCUCUGUUCUUUCAUCAGGAUCCAUUACUUAGUUUUUCUUUGUGUGCGCGAUGAUGCUUUCAUGAAAAACAAGCCUAUGGAAAUACUGAAUAGCAGUAGGUCAGAAGAAGUGAAGGAUGCAAAACUGCAGUUUUCCCAUGGCCUGAAAAUGACUCCCUCCCUGGCUUAGGGCAGCCACAGGUAUGCUGUUAAUUUUAAGUCCUCUUGCCAGAAGGCUAUAAAAUGUCUUUUCAUCUUACGUUACAUAAGUAUCCAACAAAUAAGAAGACUGUUAUUACAAAGGCAACCACACUGAAAAAAGGUUUCAUUUACUCUGAAAACCUGCAUUAAAAGACUUCUGAUGUCUCUAUGUAACGUUUAGGUUGCUGAGCACUUGGAGAGGAAAAUUCAUUGAAUUCUUCUUUAAAAAGAAAAAGGAAUUUAACCAGAAUCUGGGAUGCUACCAGGAACCACGUGAUUGAUCUUCAGUUAAGCAUUACGAUAACGUACUCUCUAAAGAUGAGUUCCCUUAGACUUCCAGCAUACCAGACAGCUUUCUGGAAAGCUAUGCUAAUAUUUAGCACCAAAUAACAAUCAAGCAUUCUAGCAAUCAUUCUGAACUAAACAAAACAUACAUCCAUAUGUCACAGAAGUGAAAACUGUGAGGUGCUAAAUGCAUCUUAAGAUGUGAAAAUACAACUUAGGCUGAGGAUGCUCAGGAAUUGAGAGAAAGUGCCCAGAAGACCCAGAAAGGGUCCUUAUAUGUUUCAUGGUCAAAUAAAAAAUUCUGCCUGGCUUCAUUGGUUGCUGAAUCAUUGCUUUGUAUUUUCAUAUGAUUUUCUCCAGGAAAAUAAAAUGUGUUUCUGUGAGAGUAAGAUGAAGACAUCGUGACAGUGAGGCACAGGAGGAUGCCUCUGCUAAGGGGAUUCAGCAGGCAUUCAACACACCUCUUAGCAACUAAGGAGUUCUUCCCAAAGUUGUUUAGUUGUAUUAAGUCCUUCCGCAUCCUCACAGGCUGGGAGGAACUGCAUAUAUUUAAGAUAUGCUCUAAGUCAGUUAACUUCCAGGCAGUAAGGAACCCUCACCUGCUCAUUUCACAGGGAAAAAAAAAAAAGCCCACAAUAGAAAACACCAUGUGCGUGUUGACAUCCUGCUUGUGAACCAAUAUUGUCACAAGCAAGAGGUGGGAAAGAGCAGGCCAAUUAAUGAAUGUGAACUGACUUACACUUAGCUAAAAUUAGGUACAAUAUCCUGUCUGAAGUUAUUACAAUUAACUAAAUAAAUACACCUUCUCAGUUAAUUAUUUUUGUAAUACCCUUGUGCCUAGAGGCCACAUUUGAGACUGAGAGCCAUCCGCACUAAGCGCUGCAUGCACACCCAGUGAAGACAGCCCAGUCUUGAACAGCUUGCUGUUCACAUAGAGGAAAAGGACUAAAGAACGAAAUCAUUCUUUAUUAUCUGUGUUACAGAAACAGACCUAGAGAAACCGAAUCCUCUUGCCCAACACCAUAUAAGAGUUAUUUGGCAGGACUCAGAAGCAAAGAGAGAAGAUGGGUACCCAAUUUAUUCCCUAGCACAAACAACAACGUCGUCUUUUACCAGAAGACUUCUCAUACAUGGGAUAGUUCUGGACUCUUGUUUCUCUACAUUGCAUUCAUUCUUUUUUGAAUGCAGCACAGCAUGUCAUAGCUAGAGCUGUUGAUUUCUCCUGGCUCCAUCCAUCUCACCUGUGUGAAACACAGCUAUUCUAUAAUGAUGAAUGAUGCCUUACUCGCAAAAAUUCAAGGCCUCAAGCUUACAUGUCUGUGAACAUACAGUUUCUGUUGGCUGCUUUCAAUUGCUUGAGUUCACAUUUGUCCUUCCUCAAAUCUAGAUACAUUACACCAUUACACCUUUUUGUAAUGAUGAAUAAGCUAUGUAGCAAAAACCUUUAAAGUAUAAUGGCAAGGGGAGUAAAUGUGUUUUUUAUAUAUAUGUAUAUAUAUCCAGAAAUAGCCUGUUCUUUCAGGUUAAAGUGGCUGUCCAGUAUAGCAUCACCUCUUGGAAAUAAGCCCCAAAAACUUACUUUUCUAGCAAACACUUUGUCUUCAAUAACUAAGCUACUGUUGUCACCAUUAGCAUCUCCUGAACAGUUUACACCACAUACUUGUGCACAUAGGAAAUAAAAUCAUCAAAGCAGAAACUGAACUGCUUGCUGGCUCCUUCUGCCUGCUGAAGAAAAAGGUUUAGACAUCCACAGAAAUACAGUGUGGCCGGUGUGUGGUGACUUGACUCUGUUUUAAGAGACCUCCUGCAGUGACAUCAUCCAGCAUCACAGCUCUAAAGCUUUGGCCUUUCCCUCCUCCGACACGAAGCAGUGCAGUGAUGUGACUAGCAGACACUUCUCAAUGUUUCUUUUCUCUUUAUCUGCUGAAAGCAGAUCUCAUAAGGAGACUGAAAAUCAUGAGGUUUUGAAGUGCUAUUCCUACAACUUUACCAAAGAACCUCAAAUUCGUGAACCAGGCUUUGACGGAUACAUUCUGCAGUCAAUCAGCUAUACUUGUGGAUUUGAGAAGGUUUGAAAAUUUGGCCCAAAAUAAAUGGUCUGUUCUUCUUGUAAUCUUAACUGUGGAGUUAGUGUAAUGAAUCAGCAAAGAAAAUUUAUUUUUCCAGCAGUUUAGCUAUUAAAUAUGACUUUCUGUGAGUCCUUGAGGCUGCCCAGAGCUUCCAACAAGUCAACCUCUGUGCCAUCUUCCCAGCCAUAAAAUUGUUUUCUGCUUCUUUGCCAGGCUGAAUGUUCUAGGAAAAGCCCAACAGACAAAUUACAGAUCGAUGAACAAAACAAUUAUUUUUCCCAAAUAGCCACAUGCCUGAAAGAAAAUCUUUCUUUAAAUAGCAUGGAUGUAUAAUUUGAAUUCAUUCAUAUUUUAUAGUUCCGGAAUAUUUGUUUACCUGAAACCCUGCAGCUUUCAGAACCAUAUUGUAAAGCAAUGAAAAAGACCAGCGGCAUUGGUGGCCUGGGCAUCUUCCUUUCUGAAGUUUCCUGGCUGACAGCAUGAAAAAAAAAAGAGUCCUCUGUGUUUGAUGAAUGCAAGAACCAGGUUUGUAAGCAUGGAAAGAGCCUUUAGAAACACAAGUGAGGUUUUUAUCCCUGGCCCCAGUGUCAUCCAUCUUGGAAAGCUUUCUGUUUUUAUUAUUUUAAACAGGUCAGCAACAGUAAGAUGGGAAACUAGAUUUCAAAACAGAUGUCUCUGCAGCGCUUCAUCAAAACAUUGUAUGAUUUCAGACGGAAAUUUAAUAUUGGAUGCCUUGCACAUUACCUAACCUGUUGGGGAUAUGAACCCCCAGCCUCUGAAACAGCAGCACCCCUAUUUCAGCAGCCGUGCUGCUUUGUCCCAUGCCAGCUCAUCACACAGAGGCUGGAUGAGGCUCCAAGCACCCUAAUCUAGCUGUAGGUGUCUCUGUUCAUUGCAGGGGAGUUGGGAUAGAUGACUUUUAAAGGCCCCUUCCAACUCAAAUGAUUUCAUGGCUCACCACACACCUCCAGCACCCAGCUCUUGCAGGUUGGGGCUGGGGGUCUCUCCACUUUACUGCUCCCCACAGGGCACAGAUUUUGGUCCCCAACACCAUGGCUAGUCCCUUCACAUCUGGGGUACAGCCCAGUAGCUGUUUUUCUCUCUCCUGUGCCUGUGGAUGGCAGAAGCACACUCUGGCCCCCCAUAGCACUGCAUGCCGACGCUCUGUCUCUAGGAAAGUAAUUUGGGAAGAACAACAAAGACUUCUUCAGAGAACUUCCUUGCAGAGAAGGUUGUGGUUGUCUUGCUAGCUCUCAAAAUUAAAACUACGUUUCAGUCAAAAAAUGCCUAUUCAGACUGACAUCAAAGGGAAAAACGUGAGCAGGUCAAGGAGUUUAAUUUCCACGGCACUCGUGAUUCACAUGUAGGGCUCGGUAAUGACUUACUGCCCACUGGCAAAAGAAAACUGUGAAUGAAGAGAGAAGUGAGGCAGACGAACGGCGCGGUGCCGCUUUCAGCCAGCAGUGCAGUGCUGUGGCCCAGCUCUUCAUCUGCAGCAGCCUUGGUGAGGAUGGCAGAGAUGCCCCUGCCCAAGGGUGUCACCCCAGGUGCCCCCCGGUGUGCUGGUGCCUUCACCCCCUGUCACCCUCUAGAGAGCAGGUUCCUUUCAGACACCUCAAGCCAGAAACAUUUGGGCCCUUCUGAAAAGCUGGGUCUCAGGCCGUGCAUCUCAAACCCUGCUCUCAUACCAGCAUUUAAACCUUUAGAUAUCUCCAGUUAAGGUGAAGGACUAUGUCUCAAGGUAUGAAGGCGGGAGGUAUGUAAACCUUUUAACAGUGUCUGUAUGUUCUCCUACUACUCCUUAUUUGCUUUUCUCAUGGGACGAUCCAACAAGGCAUUACAGGCUGUUGAUAAAUAGAUUUUCAGCCCAUUUCGUUUAACCAUUACUGCAUUUCCAUAUCAAAGAUUUUACACUUGGCAUGCCCAAGCCUAUUUUAUUUGUAAUCUUUUCUCAAAUGAGAAGUUUGGAAUGUUUUUUCAUUAUGUGUUUCAUCUGCAGCACACUGCCUUGGUGUUAUUUUUGAGAUGAGAUCUUUUACUCUACCUCGAGUCAUUCUACAACUCGUCGGCUUUUAUUUAUUCUGGCCUCCCAAUCUAACAGAAUUUCUGUGUUGAAACUUGUUGCUAUUUUUUUCCAGGGAUACACCGUACGAUGUUAAGCCUGUGCUGUGUAUCAAAGUGCAAAUAUAAACUAGUUGAUAGUCUCUGGUCACACCCUGGUAGGUGUGGCAGUUGGGAAUUUUUCACUUUCUGGCUGGAGAUCAGAAUGUGCUUAGCAUGGUUCCCCAUCCAGCAUCUUGGUCGGGAGGGGACUGGCUGCCUUCUGCAUGCAUGUUGUUUGAAGGGUUGGGAGCCACAUAGUUGUACCACUUCCAAAAGCAGAUUUUUACUUGUUUGGCUAUAUUUAGAGCUGCAAUCGGGAGAUCUGAGGGUAUGAUAAUCCAGUGCCUCACUGUCUUUCUCCUUCCUCUCGUUCUUUCUCCCUGUCACUUUGGGGGUGAGAGGAUGGACCAGCAUAGCUCUAGUGUCAGCCUCCAGCAUGGUGCAGAACUGCGCUACUCCAAGAGAAACUCCAAGGAGGAAGUGUGACUCAGAGAGCUGCAAUUCCUUCCACGGUUCCUCCUUGCUCCAGCCGGGGAAGUAAGUUACUUCAAUAUUUGUGCUGCUAGAGUACAGCUUGCUUCCGCCCCGCUGCUUGCAAGCCCCAGCUUGCAGAACGCAGAGAGAGAAUGCUCUGAGCCAGAACCUGCAAAAGGUGGCUUGCCUCCUUCUGCUCCUUGGCUGCCCAUGUGAGACAGGGACCAGUCCUGCCCUAGAUGAGGUUUCACUGCAAGGAGUCACCUCAAAGCCAUCUGCCUAAACUGGCCUUCCAGUCAUUCUGCAGAGAUGCACACCGCUGGCUGUCUUGUCAGGCAUCAUUUACAUUAAUAUCACAAACAGCACACUACCUGUGAGACGACUUCACGCUGUCUUUUUCUACCUAGAUUGCCCACUUUUCUGCUCCAUUUUCAUAGUCUUUCGUACAAUUAGACAAUCCCUAUCAGAGUAAUGCACAGCUCACCAGACACUUGCCUCUCAGAUAAUCUAUUUCCCACUGACUUAUUUUCCAUCACAAUUAUUCAUUAUUAUACCCAGAGACUGGCAAAGGAUUUGCAGGUAAUAAUUCCCUUGCCAAAACAAAAACGCUAAUAAGGGUAUUUGUAGGGAAACAUUCAUAAUCAGUGUUUCUUCAUUUGGAGUGCAAUCGUAAGGCCCAAGAACACCAACUGGUAUGUGACUUAUUUGCAAACGAUACAAAGGACUCCUCACCUGCCUCACAUACUGCUUAGCAGCAACACACUUUGGAAAACCAUAUGAAGUUCAUAGCUUUUUUUACACACACACACACACACACACACACACACACACACACACACACACCUCUUCAUGCAGAAAUACUGCACUACAAGGAGACCUUUCACUGGGGACACUUUAAAGACAUUCUGAUAUGACAGCCAAAGGUUGUGUUAACUGAGACAGUGUCAAACAAGAGUAGAUGAUGAUGAAUACUUCAGUGAUGCACAGGUCUGAAAACUAAAAAAGGUCAGAAAAACAAGAGAGGACAAAACUCAUCCAUAAGCACAUCAACUAGAUGGUCCAGGUAGGAAUAAAACCACCAUGCUUGUUGCUGUACCCUCCAAGGUUACCAGGGAGAGGUUUUCAGGAAGUAUUUUGCAGUUAAAAAAAAAAGAAGAGUAAGAAUCAACUUGAGAAAAUAGGUCCGUUCCUCACAUGUUCAGCAGCACAGAAAUGCACACUCGUAUACACAAUCAUAGUUCCUGCCUGAGUGAUAGCAAUCUCCAAAAUAGCCCCUGAAAGAAGAUUCAGGCUAUUGGACCAGCUGCUGCUUUCAGUGAAGUGGUCUGAACAUAGGUCUGAAUCCCACUCUAUGUGGGAUUUUGUGUACCAACAUGUAUAAAGCUCAUCCUUGUGUUAGAAGAUUUGAAUGGCACCAGUGCUAAUUCAGCUGUCCACCUGGCAAGCAUCUAGAGAGACACACACAGAAAGAGAAGCACUACUCAUUUGAGUCUUCACUCCUAGACUGAAAAUAACUGAUGUAAGUGAAGCGUGCAGUGCAAGUGUGCAAAAGUUACUUUCAUUUUGCACCAGUAUAUUCAGGAAUUUUAAAUAAGCUCAGUUAAAAUGAUCAGUUGAACUACUUUGACAGUGUUGUAAGAAAUCCUUAUGUGGCUAAUUCUUAAAUGUCAUCAGACAGCAGACCAAUUGUGCUCGAGCGCACAUUGUUACCCCAGGUAGCAGAUAACUUCCUGUGUUGAAACGAUGGCUUGAGAGCGAUAUACUUGCAGACAAGGAAAUAUCAUCUUCCAGUCCUGCUGUGUCUUAAAGUGAUCUACGAGAACUCUUUCUAGCUCGGUGCCUGUGUUUAGCCAAGGUAUUAGACGCAUUCAGGAUGUAUUAAACUCAUACACCUUCUAAAUUACAUGAUACAUGGAGUUCACACAGCUAGCUAAUUCAGUCAGAUGUGUAGUGCUAACAAUAACCAAAUAUAUCCAAUGUUACUUGUCUAGCUAUGGAAUAAAUAUGCUUGAUGGUGCUUAAUUAUACAGAUAUGUAAUGGGCACCUUCACCGCUUUCUAUAGUUAAAAUCCUGUUCCCAAUGCUUAGUAAUAUGGAACAACACUUUUGAAGUGGAGGAAUACUUUGGAAUAAAAAUCAUUCCUAUUUCACACUUUGGCACUCUGAACACAUAAUCCAAAAAUAGGGGAACGGAACCUUCAGCGGAUCAAAUCACGCACAGAACAGAAGUAUACUGGAAAUAAUUCCAUAAAGUCAACUCCCAGGACAAUGGGAUCGUCCCCAGUAAGUACUGCUUCAGCAACACUGGCUGAAUGAUUCACUGUGAGCAAUUCAGUGAAAAUAUCAGUGUUUUGUACAGCCUUCCUUUUUCUUUUUCUCCACGUUCCUCUUUCUCUUCCUCAUCUUCUUUUUAACCUUUUCUACCUCCCACCUUCUGUUGCCGCACAUGCAAGACCUAAGGAGCUAAAUGAACACAUACACAAGAAACAGAUGACAGAGCAGAUUGGCAGAAUGAAACAACCCAUGAGUAUAGAAGAUGGUAAAACAUCAAUAAUCAGUAUUGACAUCAGACAUUAUCAAAGAAAGGGUUUAUGCCCUGCAUUGUUUCAGUUCCUGAGAACGCCUCUUGCCUUCCACAUUGUAAAAUAUAGCCCAAACAAAAUGCAGCUAAGAAAAAGGGAAAAUUCUUCUCUACAUAGGAUUUAAUACUGCACCCAUCACUGCAGUAUCUGAGAGCAAGAUAUUCUAUUGCGGGCGUGGUGCAAAGUUCAUGGAAUAUCAAGUGUUGGUAAUCUGUGCUCUGAGCCUGUGAAUGUACGUGCAAAUGGAUCAGAUCCACAGCUGGCAUCUGUCUGGCUCCAGAUCUGGUCCAGUAAGUUUCUAAAGAGUAGUUCAAGACAGACCAUUGAAAACUUCCAAAGAAAGUCCCAGAGCACAUGACAGAAAUGGCCAAGUGGGACAGCACAGUAGAAGAAAGAAAUCCUGUGGGUUCAUUUCUUUAAAGCAUAAAAGUCAUUAAUCAUUUCUAUUCCUUUCCAUUCAAAACAGCUGCCUGCCCACAUUUGCUAAGUAACUGCUUUCCUAACCACACAGAAACUAGGCUGCGGGCCCCAGAAUGCUCAUGCUUCCAGAUAUUAAUAAAUAUUUCCCUCUUUCACUGUGUCAAUGAGAGCACAUUAGCAUCCUCAGCAUCUGGUUUUAGUCGUGAAAUAAUAUGUUAAUGUCUCCACACUUGGCGAAUUCCUUCCAAAAAAAAUCCUUCUUAGUGCUUAUCUUUCAGCUGAGGCUUCAGAAGCUCAAAAGCGUGGCUUGAAAACCUCAGUGGCCUUCUACCUGUGAUGCAGGACAGCACUCUUUGUCAAGUUAGAAAUGAUCUCUUUGAUCACACUCAUUUGUUUGUCUCCUCAUAGAGCUGAGUUACGCUUCCCACGUGAGCCCUUCGCUUCAAAAAGUCCACUGUCAUCCCUACAGGCUACUGCAAUUAGUGAAAUGCCAGCCAGCAGGUGGAGACGCAUGAAAGCAAUCUCAAUUCAUAGACAGGCUGCUUUGACAUUUCAUUCCCAUAGCCCUGGCCAAGCACUAGAGCGGGCCAGAGCCAGAGAAUAUAGCUAUUGGUUUCAUGGAAAAGUUCAGAAUUAAAAUCUUGGCUGGCUGACAAACAUGUGACAGAGCAGCUUCUCCAGCAUGACUGCUGCACACAAAGCCGCACUGGCGAGCCGUCCCGGCAGCACCUUUCAUGUACAACGCAGGGAGGGGAGCCCGCUGCUGCCUUCCUCCUGACCUCGCCUCAUUCACUCUGCUCAGCAGUGCCGAGCUGUCAGCAUCAGCUGUGCCGAGCCAUACGAGGGGCCACGCAUGCCAUGCCUUGUGUGCUCACGUUUGGCCUCGUGCAGGGCGAGGGUGGGCUCUGGUGGCUCAGCACCCAGAUGCGUUCCCACCUAUCUGCUGUGGAAGCUCAGCCCGAGAUGGCACGAAACGGCUUCGCUUCCUCUGCUCCUCUCCUAACUCCUCCCACCCAGCGCUUCCUCUUUCAGAGUGGAAACAUCAUUGUAAUAGCUAUUUCUGAAACGUCCCUGCCAAAAAUCAGGAAGCACAGAGGAAUACUUCAGGGCGAGGAGGGGGAAAAGGUAUCUCGCGAGUUAUUUCGGGAGUAGGGAAUUUGUUUACAUUAGUUUGGGAGGAAAGCCGAGGCUAAUCCCGUGUUGUCUUCAGACCAAUCAUUACGUUUCCAGCUCAAGUCUCUCCGUGCUUUAGGAACUAAACUCUCUAUGCUUUUAGAGACGUGGUUUAACGGGCAAUACUGGUGGCAUGUGGGUGGUUGGACUAGAGGAUCUGAGAGGUCUUCUCCAACCUUAAUGAUUGUAUGAACUGUAAGAAGCUGCAGAAGUGGGUCUGCAGAACACCACACGUGAAUGAGUCAUCUCCAGUGGAAGUACGCCUGUGAUGGGAGCUGUGCCUAAAUGCUGUGCUGAAAUAAAGCACGUGCAUGGAGAUGAAGAAGGAAGGAAGGAGACGGUGCAAAAUUAAUAAAGCUUAGAAUCUCAGCAAAAAUCUGCAAGCGCUUUGAAUCAUUUCAGUGUUUGAACACAGCAUACAAACAAACAGCAUUCAUCGUGAAGAUACUGAAAACAGUGACCCGCUCCGCAGGUUCGGACCCCUCAACACUGUAAUAAUCUGUGGUGAGUUAUCAGAGCUCCCUUGAAUGAGAAGGACGCUUCAAACCUUGCAAAAAAAAAAAAAAUCAACUUCAGUGCUUCUAAAGAAAUGCAUUUUGCAGCUUUUUCCACUCUUUUGGAUUCUUCUCCUCCCCCUUCUACCUCUCUUGCACUCUUCUCCUUGGAGAGCAGAGUUUAACAUGCCAUUGAGGAGAUAGCCUGCAUGCAAAGUCCCUCAAACAUAAACACACUUAAAGAACAGAUUCAUCACAGCAGGCUUCCAAAUGUGGAAACCACAUUCCAUCUGCACCCUUAUCCAAUGGUCAUUAGCUUAGAUCUUGAAUGGACAUUACUUAAAGCAAAGAUUAUAAAAACAUACAUACUGCUCAACAGUGAUUCAUCAGCUUCCAAGCUCUGCAAUUGAGCUCAGAGUGACUCAGGCUGGGGACUUCUGGAAUGUGCUGCAGGAAUUUGCUGCACUGAGUCUGCAAAGCUGCCUUCAGAUGGUUUCUCUGGCAACUCAGGACAUUUCAUUGAACUCAGGUUUGCAGCACUGUAACAUCAGUGACUCCUGUGCUGCCAGCUCUGCAGAGGGCUCAGCACCCACAUCAGCACACUGCUCAGGAGCUACGGAUGACAAUGGUCUCACAUACACAGCCCGGCGAUAAGGUAAAAGUCUACAACGUGUUGAUGUUGAUGUGAGAUGAGGAUGCUCAGCACUUCAGAAAACCAGGCCCUAAGCAAAAGAGGGGAGGGCACUCAGGCCUUUUCAGCAGGCUCUGGGAGCAGAGCUCACCUUGUCACACCUGGCGGCAGAGAGCUGCACAUCAGCUGCUCAUUCACACCCCCCUAGUAGCAGAUGGGAAGAAACAGCACCCGCAGGCUCUGGUUCAUCCUAACUAUCUCAGAUAUUUAGGAGAAGGUGAAUUGUACUCUUAGUACCUUGUGCUAUGGUGAGUAGUUCAGUUAUCACUGUUUACACUAUUCGUAUCUACCUUUGCUCAGCUGCAUCCCAUGUCUCAAUACCUCUCUCAGUAUGUCCUUAAGCCCACGAUAAUUCCACCUCAGGCCAUUGUCAGGAUUUAUACAAAUCACCUCAAGCCUUACUUCUACUUAUCUCAAAGGCACUUUGAUAAAGGAGCACAUUCAAUGAUUAAAAAAAAACCAACAUUGGUCACCUGGUGACGAUGCAACAUUCACCACACACUAAAAGCAACCCCUUCAGGUUUCACUUACAUUAAUAUUUAGGUAUCGGCAGGAAGUGAUGUUCCAAUAUCAUGACUUGGUGAUGUGUUUAUGAUCUGCUGCAUGGACUCAUUCACUGUAAAACAGAAAAAGAUUGUUUAUCAGAUAAAAAAUGGUUAUAGUACAAACCAAAAUGAAGGAAGUACUUUUCUUGUUGAAAUAUUAAGUGAUCUGUUUGGUGCUCCUGCCUUAAAUAGUCUGAGCUUCCCUUAAAAAUUAAAACAUGAAAUUCUCUGUUAUUUGUUUUGAUGCUGUCUUACUAAGAAGUCACAGAGCCUCUUACACUGAAUCCUGUCCUUUACGUCAGUUCUUUUUUUUUUAACUGUGUUUUGCAAAUUCAAACUUCAUCAACCAAACAAACCUCCCGUUUUGACUACAGAAAAUCUACAUUUGAAUCUGAAUUUUGUAUGUUGGGUUACUCUCUGCUUCCUGUUUGAGAGCACAGUUAUGGCACCCACUUGCAUGAGUUCAUAACUAAUUGAAAUGCUUGCGACAUGAGUAUGUGCUAAACAGAGGAAUUUAACAAAAAAGUUACUACAAGUUGAAGCAAUAAAAUCUUAAAGAGUUAAAAACAGCUCAUUUUUUUCCCCAAGUUGCUCAAGCUAGGAGUUGUUUGCAAUGCACAGAGCACAUCUGGGACUUUAUUCCCUUUUGCAGCGUCCUAUAUACGUAUCUUUUUAGAUUUUAGAAUGCGACAGAGAUCCACGCAGUGAAGCUUGGUGCAGUGAUAUGAAACUCUCUCAGUGAUUUUCAAAAUAUGCAACCCAUAAAUCAUUCACCUUAACCCGGACCCGAAUUUGCAUAAAACCAGAGUCGAUCAUCUCAAAAGGUAAUUUACUCAAAGCCCAAACAAUCCCAGCUGUGUGAAGCACAUAACAAAGUUAUGAAGGUAGGAUUCACAUGGCUUCAGGGUUUGUAAUGGAUGCUUUGCACAGCUGUAAUGAUGAGUGGGUGAGGAUAGUUAAGAAUGAAUGAAGUGUGGGUGGUGGAAAUAUUCACUGGGCAUGUCACGGCCAGAGGAGGAAACACAGGGGCCUCCCAGCCUCCAGGAUGGAAAGGACGUCAAGGCUCCAUGGACAGGGGUCCUACUUAUUUAUUUAUUUCAGCCCUGACACAUUCUCAUUAGGAAGGCAAAAAUGUGAAAUCGAUAGUUUCUCUUGAAUGCAGGAAGCCGACUGUGGCUGCGCAGCAGAGCUGUCUUAUAAUCUGCUUCCAAACGUGUGGGUGCCUCUUGGGUUUCCUCAGAGAUUUUAUGGACCGGUUUCAAAGUUUUCUGUAAAUUCAGGCCAACAAUGUCUGCAUCCCCUACCACAUCAGUCAAAAAUCAGACUGUGCUUCAGAGUCAUGUAAAUUCCUUCUAUAAGAAACAUUUACAUUUUACAAAAUGAAAACUGAGCAGACUACUUCACGAGGUGAAUUCACCCCUGGUUUGUCUCCCUUGUUACAGUGCAGUUACCGCAGGGAUGGGUUGACUAAUAGGUUACCAUUAACAAACAGAAAAAUGAGUAGCACGUAUAACCGAACAUUACAAAGGUUUCGCCCAGG